AUGUGGGGAGCUGUUGAAAGAGGAAGAACAGCUUGUGCUGCUGCUAUUGUCUGAAGAAUGAAGGCGGCCGGACGACUGAAGGUAUGAUAGGGAACUCCAGUCUGCUGGCUGCAGUCCUGACUGUUGUGUCAGUGAUGUGGUUGAGUCUGCUGUCUGUUCUCUGCCUGCGAUGCAAAAAGAAAUCCAAGGUCAUACACGAGGAGCAUCAAAUAUACAACCCGCAGAUGUUCCAACGCGGGGGAAGUGUGUUUGCUGUGACGCGAUCAAAAACAGUCACAAGAGCCAAUCAGAUCACGUCAACCGCAGUUGAAACACAAAGGGGGUUUGAGGACUUUUCAACAGCUGCAUUGGAGGAACAGUCAAACUAUGAAAAUAUCUCAAAUGCCACAACAGGAAGUUUGGAACACACAUAUGUAGCUCCACUCCCAAUCUCAAUAUAUGAAAAUGAACAAAGGCCAAGAAUAACUGAUGCUGAUCAGACUCCAGAUGUCUAUGCUAACAUGCACACUUCAUCAUCAAGUAAAGACGAUGAGGACGACUACGAGAACUCUGAGUUUCUGGACCAAGUUGUGCAGGAGCAAAAUGAUGAUGAGCCGGAUUAUGUGAAUGAAAACGGCUGA
rnacentral:lncRNA from 1 species